AGCGAACGCUGGCGGCAGGCCUAACACAUGCAAGUCGAACGGAUCCUUCGGGAUUAGUGGCGGACGGGUGAGUAACACGUGGGAACGUGCCCUUUGGUUCGGAACAACUCAGGGAAACUUGAGCUAAUACCGGAUGUGCCCUUCGGGGGAAAGAUUUAUCGCCAUUGGAGCGGCCCGCGUCUGAUUAGCUAGUUGGUGAGGUAACGGCCCACCAAGACGACGAUCAGUAGCUGGUCUGAGAGGAUGAUCAGCCACACUGGGACUGAGACACGGCCCAGACUCCUACGGGAGGCAGCAGUGGGGAAUCUUGCGCAAUGGGCGAAAGCCUGACGCAGCCAUGCCGCGUGAAUGAUGAAGGUCUUAGGAUUGUAAAAUUCUUUCAGCGGGGACGAUAAUGACGGUACCCGCAGAAGAAGCUCCGGCUAACUUCGUG
rnacentral:rRNA from 1 species